UACAGAGACUGCAAGCGUUAUUCGGACUCACUGGGCGUAAAGGGUGCGCAGGCGGCCGAGUGUGUGAGGCGUGAAAGCCUGGAGCUCAACUCCAGAAUUGCACCUCAAACUACACGGCUAGAGCAUUGGAGAGGGUAGCGGAAUUCACGGUGUAGCAGUGAAAUGCGUAGAUAUCGUGAGGAACACCAGAGGCGAAGGCGGCUACCUGGACAAUUGCUGACGCUCAGGCACGAAAGCGUGGGGAGCAAAAGGG
rnacentral:rRNA from 1 species